rnacentral:rRNA from 1 species
CCUACGGGAGGCAGCAGUGAGGAAUAUUGGUCAAUGGGCGGGAGCCUGAACCAGCCAAGCCGCGUGAGGGAAGAAGGUACAGCGUAUCGUAAACCUCUUUUGUCAGGGAACAAAGGCGGGGACUAGUCCCCGGAUGAGGGUACCUGAAGAAAAAGCAUCGGCUAACUCCGUGCCAGCAGCCGCGGUAAUACGGAGGAUGCGAGCGUUAUCCGGAUUUAGUGGGUUUAAAGGGUGCGCAGGCGGCGUGUUAAGUCAGCGGGACAAGCCCGGGGAUCAACCCCGGCGAGCCGUUGAAACUGGCGGGCUGGAGUGGGAGAGAAGUAGGCGGAAUGCGGGGUGUAGCGGUGAAAUGCUUAGAU